rnacentral:rRNA from 1 species
AACGAACGCUGGCGGCAGGCUUAACACAUGCAAGUCGAACGCCCCGCAAGGGGAGUGGCAGACGGGUGAGUAACGCGUGGGAAUCUACCCAGUUCUACGGAACAACAGAGGGAAACUUCUGCUAAUACCGUAUACGCCCCAAGGGGGAAAGAUUUAUCGGAAUUGGUUGAGCCCGCGUAAGAUUAGCUAGUUGGUGAGGUAAUGGCUCACCAAGGCGACGAUCUUUAGCUGGUCUGAGAGGAUGAUCAGCCACACUGGGACUGAGACACGGCCCAGACUCCUACGGGAGGCAGCAGUGGGGAAUAUUGGACAAUGGGCGCAAGCCUGAUCCAGCCAUGCCGCGUGAGUGAUGAAGGCCUUAGGGUUGUAAAGCUCUUUCAGUAGGGAAGAUAGUGACGGUACCUACAGAAGAAGCCCCGGCUAACUUCGUGCCAGCCGCCGCGGUAACAC